rnacentral:rRNA from 1 species
GGUGCGUAACGCGUAUGCAUCUACCUUUUACUAUGGGAUAGCCCAGAGAAAUUUGGAUUAAUACCAUAUAGUAUAUUUGAAUGGCAUCGUUUGAAUAUUAAAGAUUUAUCGGUAAAAGAUGAGCAUGCGUCCCAUUAGUUAGUUGGUGUGGCAACGGCAUACCAAGACGAUGAUGGGUAGGGGUCCUGAGAGGGAGAUCCCCCACACUGGUACUGAGACACGGACCAGAUUCCUACGGGAGGCAGCAGUGAGGAAUAUUGGUCAAUGGAGGCAACUCUGAACCAGCCAUGCCGCGUGCAGGAUGACGGUCCUAUGGAUUGUAAACUGCUUUUGUACGGGAAGAAAACAAACUACGAGUAGUUAAUUGACGGUACCGUAAGAAUAAGGAUCGGCUAACUCCGUGUCAGCAGCCGCGGUAAUACGGAGGAUCCAAGCGUUAUCCGGAAUCAUUGGGUUUAAAGGGUCCGUAGGCGGCCUUAUAGUCAGUGGUGAAGUUUUUGGCUUAACCAAAAGAUUGCCAUUGAUACUGUACGGCUUGAAUAUCUGUGAAGUAACUAGAAUAUGUAGUGUAGCGGUGAAAUGCUUAGAUAUUACAUGGAAUACCGAUUGCGAAGGCAGGUUACUAACAGAUGAUUGACGCUGAUGGACGAAAGCGUGGGUAGCGAACAGGAUUAGAUACCCUGGUAGUCCACGCCGUAAACGAUGGAUACUAGCUGUUUGGUUUUCGGACUGAGUGGCUAAGCGAAAGUUAUAAGUAUCCCACCUGGGGAGUACGUUCGCAAGAAUGAAACUCAAAGGAAUUGACGGGGGCCCGCACAAGCGGUGGAGCAUGUGGUUUAAUUCGAUGAUACGCGAGGAACCUUACCAAGGCUUAAAUGCAAUUUGACAGAACUAGAAAUAGUUUUUUCUUCGGACAGACUGCAAGGUGCUGCAUGGCUGUCGUCAGCUCGUGCCGUGAGGUGUUAGGUUAAGUCCUGCAACGAGCGCAACCCCUAUCAUUAGUUGCCAGCGUUUAAAGACGGGGACUCUAAUGAGACUGCCGGUGCAAACCGCGAGGAAGUGGGGACGACGUCAAGUCAUCCGGCCCCUACGU